AGAAUCACAAAAUUCUGCACCUUGAAUCAAAGUUCAUGUCCAAACUGGAUGAAUAUACUCCUAAGCUUCUGGCACUCUUCCAUUCCAAGGGUGGAGCCCUAGGGUUGAGGUUGCAAGCUAUCCUACUCAAGGCUCUCAGCCAUCCUUGCAUAAACAUGACCAGAGAAGCUGUCAUUCGGUGCUUGAUGGUGUACCUCGGGGAAUCAACAGAUCAGCUCUUAAGAGUAUGAGGAUGCUGAUGGAGACAGUGUGUCACAGGACCUUGCAGUACAAAAGAUUCAAAAUCUACAAACUCAAGACAGAAACAUCAGAGGGUACUGCAGAAUUUGGUAUUGUGGUAGAAGGUGUGAAAGUUCUGACUGAAGGUUUGAAAGUUCUAACUUUGCAAGGGCAUGCUCCAUGCUUGUUGGAUUUGCAUAUGCAGUGGAUCUCGCUUUUCCCAAGGAGCUCAGGUACACAUUCGAAGUCUUUCAAAAACUCCUCCUUGAACUGGAUUGUUUACGGCUCUCUCCAAAAGUGAAUAGCCUCAAGAAUAAGCUAUUGGCUUAAGACAAGGGACUCGUGUAGAGUGAAAAGAAAUUGAAUGACUCUCAAAACUUCUACAUUGUUAUAUUUUAAAGCUUUGUAAAAUGCACAAGUUUAAUUGUUUUGUUUAAUUCAUUGCUCAGUUAAUCACAUGUUUCUUGUAGUCCAAUAACCAUACUAAUUUGAGGGAAGAGGCGUAAUGUUUUUGAUUUUAUAUUGACACAGACAACUGUUCAUAUGCAUUGUGAUAGCAUUGUGUAAACAAGUCU